UAUUUUCUACAAUCAUUUGGGAAGAUUGGAUUUUUGCUUCUUUGUCAGGUCAGUUGCUUCCAGUCUCAAUAGCCCUUUUAGGCCUGCUUUGACCUAUGAGUUUGCUAUGUGCAGCUAAUCUAUUGAUUAUUUUUAGAGGGAAAGAGUGGUCAUUUUCAAUUUUAUUUUAAUUGAUUGUGUGAUCAUUAUCAGCUAACAAGGUCUAGAAUUUCAAGAAUUUAAUUUCUGGAUGUUUCUCUCUUGCAGUCUUGAUCAUUCUAUUGACUAAUAGAGUAGUGUCCUUGCAAUUUCCAAAGUCACUUGCAGAUGAAUCAUACUUCAACUGGAACUCAUAAGUAAAGCUCUACCAGAGCAAUGCUUCAUCAUCCAUGAAUUUUUUAGGACAUUUUAAAAAAAUUGAAUAUGAGACCACCUUCAUGUGGAUUUAGAAAAUACAAACUCAAUUCAGUCUACGAGAAUUUGAGUGGUAUGUUCCAUGCAACUGAAGUUUAAGACUAAAGUCCAAAGCAAUGUUUUUGUAGUAAAAGACAAUACAGAUUUAAGUUCAAAUUCCACAUUUCUAUUCAAACCCAAAAUUCAUUCACUAUUGAACAGAAAUUAAACUUUCCAUAUGCAUAUGUAUAUAUAGGAUAUCAACCUUUGCUUCAUUCUCACCAAUGGCUACACCAAGGAAGCCAAAUUGUUAUCCCCUUGUUUUGGCAGUGGUUUUUCU
rnacentral:misc_RNA from 1 species